ensembl:snoRNA LOC120093447 small nucleolar RNA SNORA17
UCUGCCCCUAGAAGCAUUAGAAGUGUGGCUGCUGUGUCAAACAUGCCUCACUAGGUGGCAGAGAGGAGAGAGGCCAUUUCUAUGCUCAGUGUUCUGACCUGUGAUUAGCAGGAUUAGUAGCCUAACACU